rnacentral:rRNA from 1 species
AACGAACGCUGGCGGCAGGCCUAACACAUGCAAGUCGAACACUCUAGCAAUAGGGAGUGGCGCACGGGUGAGUAACGCGUAGGAAUCUACCCAUUAGCCUGGGAUAACAGCGGGAAACUGCUGCUAAUACCGGAUACGCCCCUUCGGGGGGAAAGGUUUACUACUAAUGGAUGAGCCUGCGUUAGAUUAGCUAGUUGGCGAGGUAAUGGCUCAACAAGGCUCCGAUUUAUAGCCGGUCUGAGAGGACGAUCGGCCACACUGGGACUGAGACACGGCUGAGAGUCCUACGGGUGGCAGCAGUGGGGAAUAUUGGGCAAUUGGCGCAAGCAUGACCCAGCCAUGCAGCGUUAGUGAUGAAGGCCUUUGUGUUGUAAAGCUCUUUUAGUAGUGAAGAUGAUGACAGGAGCUACAGAAAAAGCCCCGGCUAACUUCGUGCCAGCCGCCGCAGUAAUAC